rnacentral:rRNA from 1 species
UACGUAGGGGGCUAGCGUUGUCCGGAAUCAUUGGGCGUAAAGAGCGUGUAGGCGGCCCGGUAAGUCCGCUGUGAAAGGCGGGGGCUCAACCCUCGAAUGCCGGUGGAUACUGUCGGGCUAGAGUGCGGAAGAGGCGAGUGGAAUUCCUGGUGUAGCGGUGAAAUGCGCAGAUAUCAGGAAGAACACCCGUGGCUAAGGCGGCUCGCUAGUACGGUACUGACGCUGAGACGCGAAAGCGUGGGGAGCGAACAGG